ACACUGCAAUGUGCAGCUUGUGUUUUCACUGAUUUAUUUGCGACCUGAGGUACUACUGCGUAUCGCAGGUGACCUUCUUGACUGUAGAGAGCGUGUCUGCAUGUGGUACAGAAAGAUACAGUUCAGAGUUAGCUGGGCCUGUUCUCACAGCGACUGCUGCAGGGACAGCAGAGGACGUGAGAAGUCCUUUGCUCUUUCAGUGCUAGAAUUCUAACGAAAGUGAACGUGCAGCUCUUUGCAGCCAGGUGAGCGUGGAUCUGUUUGUAUGUCAAGCCAAAAAUUCUGCCUGGCACUGACAAAAGUAUAUUAGGCUGAGGAGUGCUCACCUUCACAUCUGACUUUUCCAAAUAGCAAGUUGCCGUACGAUGUUGCACCUGAACAAGCUCUUAAUCACGGUGAGGUGAGGACGCACCUGGAUGCCUCAAUCCGAGAUGUGAAGGCAGUGACAGACAAGUUCCUGUCUGCCAUCGUUGUUCAGCUGACCAAAUCCCUUACGGGAUGCGUUUCAUCGCCAAGGUACUGAAAGACUCCCGGCAUGACAAGUUUCCUGAUGCUGGCGAGGAUGAGCUUCUGAAGGAAGAAAAGCUUGAUGUCUGUGCCAAGGGAGACGUACACCGCACUUGCGCUGCCUGGACGAUGUGGAAACUGGAAAUUGUGGGGUGUGCUGAAGCAUGCCCUCUCAGGUCAGUCUAAGCAUCCAUAGAGUAGACCUGUCUAGCAAAACAGGGAAUAGACAGUUAAACCCAUUCUGUUGGGAAAUACUCUCUCCUUCUAAGUACCUUUAGAACGUGAGUUUCUUCAGUUAAUUACUCAACUCAUUUGCUUUUCCUGAAUGAUCCUAAGUUCUUUUCUCAGGUGACAUCUGCACUCUGCUCAGUCCAAGGAGAAAUCCCUGCCCGCAGAUGCAAUGACACAGCGUGGCUCCCAACCUCAUUUUUCAUUGCUUACUCUUAUGGUAGCUGCCAUCCAUGUCCACCCUGCGUAUUCUUAGAGCUCUUCUGGAGUCCAUGGGACAGACUUAUGGUUGAACUAAAGGGAAUUUUUUUAUAAUGCUCGAGCUCCAGAUGAUUAUCCCUAGUAUCAUUAUAUUAAAAAAAAAAAAAGGCGUUUUGAAGUAGCGCGAUAUAUCUUCUGUGCCUCAGAAUGUGGCACGUGUGGCAUGAGAGAGUUGUGAGGCCACGAGGACUGCCCAGACAGCAUGAGAACUGUAAGAGCAGAGAGCUAUAGGUGAUGCAGCGCUAUUGGUGCCACCCGCAGG